rnacentral:rRNA from 1 species
UGGGGAAUAUUGGACAAUGGGCGCAAGCCUGAUCCAGCCAUGCCGCGUGAGUGAUGAAGGCCCUAGGGUUGUAAAGCUCUUUCAACGGUGAAGAUAAUGACGGUAACCGUAGAAGAAGCCCCGGCUAACUUCGUGCCAGCAGCCGCGGUAAUACGAAGGGGGCUAGCGUUGUUCGGAAUUAUUGGGCGUAAAGAGCGUGUAGGCGGCCCGGUAAGUCUGCCGUGAAAACCUGGGGCUCAACCCCGGGCGUGCGGUGGAUACUGCUGGGCUAGAGGUUGGUAGAGGCGAGUGGAAUUCCCGGUGUAGCGGUGAAAUGCGCAGAGAUCGGGAGGAACACCAGUAGCGAAGGCGGCUCGCUGGGCCAUUCCUGACGCUGAGACGCGAAAGCAUGGGGAGCGAACAGGAUUAGAUACC